rnacentral:rRNA from 1 species
UACGGGGGGGGGUAAGCGUUGUUCGGAAUUACUGGGCGUAAAGGGCUCGUAGUCGGCCAACUAAGUCGGACGUGAAAUCCCUCGGCUUAACUGGGGAACUGCGUCCGAUACUGGAUGGCUUGGAUUUGGGAGAGGGAUGCGGAAUUCCAGGUGUAGCGGUGAAAUGCGUAGAUAUCGAGAGGAACACCUGCGGCGAAGGCGGGUUGCUGGGCUGACACUGACGCUGAGGCGCGAAAGCUAGGGGAGCGAACGGG